AUGUGUAUUCUGAAGAAAAGAGGGGGCAUGGGUUUUAGCGAUGUACAAAGCUUUAAUCUUGCUAUGUUAGCAAAACAGGGUUGGCGUCUAAUUCAGAGCCCCGAUUCUUUGUGUGCACGUGUGUUAAGUGCAAAAUAUUGUCCUGAUGGAAACAUACUGAAUGCGGGUCCCAAGAAAGGCUCUGCAUUUACUUGGGAAGGUAUUGUUUCAGGGAUCCAAACCUUUAAGAGGGGAUACGUUUGGAGAGUUGGGACUGGUUCAAAGAUGAUUAUUUGGAAAGAUCCUUGGAUACCCUCCAAUGUUCGGAAAGUAAUCAUUCCGUGGGGGGAAACUUUAUUGUCAAACAUAGAAGACUUGAUUGACCAAUACUCUGGUCAAUGGGAUGAAUAGCUUGUACGGUAUGUUUUCAACCUAGUUGAUGUUGCUAUAAUCCUACGAAUCCCUCUUUGCGUGGAUGUGCUAGUGGGUUUUGUAGCAUGGAAUUACACAAGGUAUGGUACACUCUCGGUGCGAUCUUCAUAUCAUGUUGAGUUUGAUCACCAAUAUGCCGCAUGA
rnacentral:rRNA from 1 species